AUGACCCGCGGCCGAAGAGUGAGCUGGUCAGUAAUUGCAGGACUGACAUCGACAAGCCAUGACAUUGUUCUAGAGGACAAAAUCGUGCUCGCCAACAAUAGUGUUUCCAGGGAUGUGAUCUACAGCGUCGAUGAGGCCAUGAAACAAUGUUUUUCUCCCGAGUGGAAGGAGAGGACAUGCAGUGGCGUUUUCGCAGUUGGAGGCGAGGUUGAGGAAGUUGAAUCAGGUUACGCUUUGGCAACAUCCACCCGAACUGCUUCGAAGAAUUACCAGGACGCCUUCGUAUUUUAUACUGUGUGCGGGAAUUGUCUUUCAGUAAGGCUUGCAUUGAUGCUUUUAUUAAAAGCAUGUUGUAUUUAG
rnacentral:rRNA from 1 species